AGCCCCUUGGCCACACCAGGGUAUCGCACUGUUCCAAUUGGUUGAUUGAUGAUAACCUUAUCUUCUUUGAGUAUCCCAUCUACUAGUGCUCGAUAUAUCUUCGAAAUUUUCCUGCCCUUGACAAGCUUUGUGGUGGUAUCACCAAUAUCUCCAACACGAGAUGUGCCAUCAGCAAAAUAUGCUGCUAGGUGAGUCUUGGCAAACUUUGACUUUGCACAAAGUAAUAUUCCUGAUGUUCCCCUUCCUAGGCGAUGAACAGGAACAGGAUGCGAUUCUUGGCUCAGUAGGGAAGAUGUUUGAUUCUUUGCCCACCACUGAAGUUGUGUUAAAACAGUCCGCUGUUGGAAAAGCCCUCCAGGCAAAACUUGCAGACCAGAAGGCUUGUUUAAAGCAAUCAGAUCAUCAUCUUCAUAUAAAACUUGUAGCAUGUAAGGUGCAUUAGGCUCAUUCCAAGGAAGCCUGUAGUAGACAAGUUCUGAACCAACCCUGAGUACUGUGUUGUGUUCUUUAACAACCACACCAUCAAUUGUUAUCUGUCC
rnacentral:misc_RNA from 1 species